GCCUGUCAGAAGGAGGAGGAGGAGGAGGAGGAGAGAGGGGACGAGGCGGCAGCUCCAAGUUUAAUGGUCCACGUCAGGCGCGCCUGGCCCGGCUGGCGCGGGAGCGCUGGGAGGAGCAGGCGCGGGGCCGGGGGUGCCCGGCUGUGCCCGGCCCGCAGCGGGUCUGCGGACCGCGGUGCCUUCUCCGCCCAGCGAUCGCGAAGAGGGUCUGCUUUCAAUGAGCCGCCUCUGGGCUGACUGCACGGCGGUGACAUCAGGCGGGGAAGCCCGGGCGCCCUGACUCUGUGCGGCACUAGGGGGCAAUGCGGGUCCAGCCAAGGCGCGCAGCCCCGACGCCAGCGCCAGCCGGGUCGGCCUGGAGAUCAGCCGCGCCCCGCACCGCUCCCUCUGCGGGGAUGGGGCUGGGAGCAGAGCAGGGGAUCCGGGUGUGGGCAUCCGGGUUCAUACACCCCAGGGGCCCCGCUGGGAUUAUUUUCCCUCCUGUUCACGCUUCAGUUAAAAGAACACAACUCGAACUGAAUCAGGUGAACUGAUGCUGGCCUCGCUGGUCCCCACGGACUCUGCCAUCUGAGAUGACUACUGAGGUUGAAGAGGAUUUUGCCUGACACUGGACAAGGGUGUGAGUUAAAGAAGGAAAGAAAGAAAUACAGAAUACAGGGCUCAAAUUUCUCCAUCUUUCCUCUUCUUCCUCUCUCGUGCUUUCUGAUCCAAACCACACAAGCCUUUUGGGGGAUUUUUUUUUCAAUUGUGGUCACCAACUUCAAAGAGUUCUAAAGGAAGUGGUGGGACUCUUUUCCUUGGAGGCAUCUAAAAUUGUACUUGGACAAAGAGUUAGGGCCCAGCUUUGGAGGGGACAGACCAGGUCCCAAGGGAUUUAGACAGAGGAGAGAACUUGGACUGUUUUCUGCCUUCUUUCUCUAUUUUUGAGUGUCUCUGGGUGGGACCUUGGGAGAAGUAUGGACAAGCUUGGCAAUUGCGUGUGGCAUCACUUUGGUUACAGGGACAUGGUGAGGGGGACAAGGGUGAGAAAGAGGCUGUUUCCUCUGCAGCGCCAAGUAAAGAUGCUGGAGCACUGAGUAAGGAGACAGGAAAUGCCCAGAAAUUCUCAGCUGUUUACUGGACACCAAAUUAAAAGAUUUGGAAAUGAGCCCAAAGAGUCUUUAAAAGAUGACCGGAGAAAGAGGAGGUAUCCUGGUCUUUCUGCUUCUUAUAGGGACUCUACUCGUGAGUGGACACUGUUUUAGGAACGUCUAGACAAGAGAAAUCUGGGAUAAUGGAAAUUCACUCCAUGAUGCACAUUCCCAGGAGGACCCCGUUGAUCUCCUCUGCCCACUAAAG
rnacentral:sRNA from 1 species